rnacentral:rRNA from 1 species
GAUGAACGCUGGCGGCGUGCCUAAUACAUGCAAGUAGAACGCUGAAGGAGGAGCUUGCUCUUCUGGAUGAGUUGCGAACGGGUGAGUAACGCAUAGGUAACCUGCCUGGUAGCGGGGGAUAACUAUUGGAAACGAUAGCUAAUACCGCAUGACAACAGUUAUUGCAUGAUAACUGUUUAAAAGGGGCAACUGCUCCACUACCAGAUGGACCUGCGUUGUAUUAGCUAGUUGGUGAGGUAACGGCUCACCAAGGCGACGAUACAUAGCCGACCUGAGAGGGUGAUCGGCCACACUGGGACUGAGACACGGCCCAGACUCCUACGGGAGGCAGCAGUAGGGAAUCUUCGGCAAUGGACGGAAGUCUGACCGAGCAACGCCGCGUGAGUGAAGAAGGUUUUCGGAUCGUAAAGCUCUGUUGUAAGAGAAGAACGAGUGUGAGAGUGGAAAGUUCACACUGUGACGGUAUCUUACCAGAAAGGGACGGCUAACUACGUG